rnacentral:rRNA from 1 species
UACGGAGGGUGCAAGCGUUACUCGGAAUUACUGGGCGUAAAGGGUGCGUAGGUGGUUGUUUAAGUCUGAUGUGAAAGCCCUGGGCUCAACCUGGGAAUGGCAUUGGAAACUGGCGACCUAGAGUGCGGUAGAGGGUAGUGGAAUUCCCGGUGUAGCAGUGAAAUGCGUAGAGAUCGGGAGGAACAUCUGUGGCGAAGGCGACUGCCUGGACCAGCACUGACACUGAGGCACGAAAGCGUGGGGAGCAAACAGG